rnacentral:rRNA from 1 species
AUAACAAUACAGGACUCUUUAGAGGCCCUGUAAUUGUAAUGAGUCCACUUGAAAUCCUUUAACUCUGAUCAAUUGGAGGGCAAUUCUGUUGCAGAGCGACUGACCCGUGCAUGCUGCAGAUGAAACUCCACUAUCGACUGCUGCUGCUCUCA